CGAGCGCAACCCCUAUCCUUAGUUGCCAGCAUUCAGUUGGGCACUCUAGGGAGACUGCCGGUGACAAACCGGAGGAAGGUGGGGAUGACGUCAAAUCAUCAUGCCCCUUAUGAGUUGGGCUACACACGUGCUACAAUGGACGGUACAAAGGGCAGCGAGACCGCGAGGUGGAGCCAAUCCCAUAAAGCCGUUCCCAGUUCGGAUUGCAGGCUGCAACUCGCCUGCAUGAAGUCGGAAUCGCUAGUAAUCGCAGGUCAGCAUACUGCGGUGAAUACGUUCCCGGGUCUUGUACACACCGCCCGUCACACCACGAGAGUUUGCAACACCCGAAGCCGGUGAGUAAC
rnacentral:rRNA from 1 species